rnacentral:rRNA from 1 species
UGGGGAAUAUUGGGCAAUGGGGGAAACCCUGACCCAGCAACGCCGCGUGAGGGAAGAAGGUUUUCGGAUUGUAAACCUCUGUCCUUGGUGAAGAAAGAGAUGACGGUAGCCAAGGAGGAAGCCCCGGCUAACUACGUGCCAGCAGCCGCGGUAAGACGUAGGAUGCAAGCGUUGUCCGGAUUUAUUGGGCGUAAAGAGUUCGUAGGUGGUUUAUCAAGUCUGGUGUUAAAGCCCGGGGCUCAACUCCGGUUCGGCACUGGAUACUGGUAAGCUAGAGUGCAGAAGAGGCAAGGGGAAUUCCCAGUGUAGCGGUGAAAUGCGUAGAUAUUGGGAGGAACACCGGUGGCGAAAGCGCCUUGCUGGGCUGUUACUGACGCUGAGGAACGAAAGCCAGGGGAGCGAAUGGG